rnacentral:rRNA from 1 species
UACGAAGGGGGCUAGCGUUGUUCGGAAUUACUGGGCGUAAAGCGCACGUAGGCGGAUGUGUAAGUUGGGGGUGAAAUCCCGGGGCUCAACCCCGGAAUUGCCUUCAAGACUGCAUGUCUGGAGGUCAGGAGAGGCGAGCGGAAUACCGAGUGUAGAGGUGAAAUUCGCAGAUAUUCGGUAGAACACCAGUGGCGAAGGCGGCUCGCUGGACUGAUACUGACGCUGAGGUGCGAAAGCGUGGGGAGCAAACAGG